rnacentral:sRNA from 1 species
UUUUGGGUUAGGGAUAGGAGCGACAUCCUUUUGCUUUUUUCUUUAAAAAGCAAAAGAUACAGCGGAUAGCCCGGUUCGCC